CCGCAUUCACCUUUGAUGGCUCUUGUGCCUUCUGCACCUUCAGAGACUUGGGUUUGUGAAUGAUGUCUUUCUGAAUCACCAUCAAUCCCCCUUUUAUCCCCUGCACCUUGGGGGGUCUUCCACGACGACCUUUUAACUUUUUUGGUCUGCCAAUAUGUCGAGGCUUUUCAUCCUUCUCAGUAUCAACCAUUUCCACAGUCAGUGCACCAUUUCUCCCCUGCACCUUGGGGGGUCUUCCACGACGACCUUGUAACUGUUUUGGUCUGCCAAUAUGUUGAGGCUUUUCAUCCUUCUCAGUAUCAACCAUUUCCACAGUCAGUGCCCCAUUUCUCCCCUGCACCUUGGGAGGUCUUCCACGACGACCUUGUAACUGUUUUGGUCUGCGAAUAUGUCGAGGUUUUUCAUCCUUCUCAGUAUCAACCUUUUCCUCCACCCAUUCCCAUUUUA
rnacentral:lncRNA from 1 species